GAUGAACGCUGGCGGCGUGCCUAAUACAUGCAAGUCGAACGAGUGGCGAACGGGUGAGUAACAUGUGGGAAACCUACCCUUCAGCGGGGCAUAACCAUCGGAAACGAUGAAUAAUACCGCAUACUGAAGGAUGGUUCCGCGGUGCAUGAGCUAGUGCGUGGGGUAACGGCCUACCGUGGCCUUGAUGCAUAGCCGACCUGGGCGGAUGAUCGGCCACCAUGGGACUGAGACACGGCCCAUACUCCGACGGGAGGCAGCAGUAGGGAAUCUUCCGCAAUGGACGCAAGUCUGACGGAGCCACGCCGCAUGUGUGAAGAAGGUCUUCGGGUCGUAAAGCACUGUUAUCAGAGAAGCGUUACCUAAUCAGAAAGCCACGGCUAACUACGUGCCAGCAGCCGCGGUAAUUC
rnacentral:rRNA from 1 species